AUGCCGCAGCCCGGGGUUGAUGGAGGUGAUAAGACCAUGCUCUCGCCUUACACUGCUACGCCGACGGAUGAAUUUGAUAGAUUAGUCUACUGGAAACACAGAAGCCAACCAUAUAUAGUCGUCCUCAAUGCUGCGACGCUGCAGUUAUCUCGAAUCGAUUUGCCGCCACCCUUGAAAGAUAUAGACAACGCACAAUUUAGGCUUGGUCCGACCAAGGAUGGUAAGCUCUCUAUGUUUUUCAUAGAUGAUCAAUUUGCAGACAAAGGAAUGCUCUCUGUUUGGUUUUGGAGAGCCGAUGGUAUUGGUGACGGUGCUGAGAAAUGGGCGCCGCACAAGACUUUCCCACUGGACAAAUUUCUUGAUUUCACCGUGCAUUCAGAAGAGUAUGAUGUCGCAGCGCAGGUUGUGGACGUCAUAGGUGGCUUUUUGUACCUAUGCAUUUAUGAUGGGUCUACCUUGUGCUUCCUAUCCUUCUGCCUGGAAACAGAGAAGGUAAACGAGUUCUUCGAUAAUAGAGUUGACUGCAGUGUCCAGCCCUACAUCAUGGCAUGGCCUCCUUCUUUGGUAUGCAACAAGGAGGAUUCAGAAACCAAAGUUACGAGAGACAGUGUAGUGGAUGAUGAUCAUGUGGGCACAGAAGAAACUCCCUCUGUUAUUCUCACAGCAUUGCAAUCAUAUAAAGAAGCUCUGAUUAAUGGCGAUGGGGCAAAAGUUGCAGAGAUAGAGGCAUUUCUACUUUCUAUCGAGGAUGAGAAGAAUGCUCUUGUGAGAAAAAUCACUACUCUAGAUGCAGAAUUAACAAAUGCGAGAGAUCAUAUCUUGAAGAUAAGUGCCGAAUGCAAUGACCACAGGAGAAGGGCAGAAACAGAUAGGUGA
rnacentral:rRNA from 1 species